GUCCACGCUGUAAACGUUGGGCGCUAGGUGUGGGGACCCUCUCCGGGUUUCUGCGCCGCAGCUAACGCAUUAAGCGCCCCGCCUGGGGAGUACGGCCGCAAGGCUAAAACUCAAAGGAAUUGACGGGGCCCGCACAAGCGGCGGAGCAUGCGGAUUAAUUCGAUGCAACGCGAAGAACCUUACCUGGGUUUGACAUCGCCGGAAAACUCGUAGAGAUACGGGGUCCUUCGGGGCCGGUGACAGGUGGUGCAUGGCUGUCGU
rnacentral:rRNA from 1 species